GUAUGAUUCUAUUUAUAUAACAUUCUGAAACUGACAAAAUUGCAGAAAUAAAAAACAGAUUAGUUUUGCCAGGGGUUAAGGAGGGGGUUGGGCAAUAUAAGAGAUCCUUGUGGUGAGGAUCUAUAUAGAGAUCCUAUAAGGGGCAACAUAAGAGAUCCCUGUGGUGAUGGAACUUUUCUCUAUCUUGGCUGCAUCAACUGUCAGUAUCCUGGUUGGGAUACUGCCCUAUAGUUUUUGCAAGAUGUUACCACGGGGAAACUGGGAAAGGGUAUGCGAGAUCAGUCUCAAUUCCUAGAACUGCAUGUGAAUCUACAGUUAUCCCCAAAUUUUAAAAAGCUUAUUUAAAAAUACAAGAUGUAGUGUGAACCAGGAUGAAUAUGCCAAAACUGAAAUGUAAUCAUGCAUAUCCCCUACUCAAAUGCUUUAAAGUGCUAUUUCUCAACAGGAGAAAGUCCAGACUCCUGUGGUUCGUCACGUGGUAGGAUAACCUAUUGAGAAACUUUUUUUUUUUUUUUCUUUUCAGAAUUGGAUUUACCACAAAGGAAUGAACGACAUUUCCUUCUCUGCCAAGAGGGUAGCCAGGCCUCUGCAACCUGAAGGUCUGGGCUUUCCUUAUCCCCCAGGGGGCAGUUAACAACUGUAACUGGUUGUUUGAGAGAUCUCAACCCACCAAAGGAUAAACAGAGAAGGUUUUGUUUUUUCCCAGCUAUCUACUUUGCUUGGCUAAAUCUCUUUCCAACUGGGUAGAAAGGAACUUUAGUGACAUCCCUGUUUCGUCCCAAACGUUUUCAGUCACAUCUAGCUAUUAAAGUAGUGUAAUUUGAAGGGAACAUUCAGUUGCUCUAGGUACUAUUUCCUUUGCCAAGUGCAGUUCACCACCCUCUCUCCAGGAGCUGGGCAGGCUGCCUCUUGCACGGAGGCCCCUGGCAGAGGUUGAAGGGGGGCUUUGGCUUGCUUGCUUUCAUCGCCCUCUCCCCUCCUUCCAGUCCCUCACGCCUACACUCACCACCAGGAGCAGUUAUGGAGUCAGGGGGCUGACGGGAGAAUGGUGGUUGGUGUAAGAAUGGUGGCCGGUGUGGCCCUGGGUCUGGGCCAUGCAGCUGGCGGAGCCUUAGAGAGCCUGCCCCUAGAAGGCACGGUUGCCUGUGUACAUUGAGCGGGAACUUCCAAAACCCAUGGCUUUGCAGAGCUCAGCGAAGGUCUCCCAGACUAAGUUGGAGGCUGACAAGGUUAAGUGUCCAGAGAAGAAUCCCACCUACAAUAGCCUCCACAGACCCGGGGACUCCUCGCCCCUGUCAGAGUACCACAGCAACAACAACCAUAGACAGGGGUCCAGCAACACAAUCCCACAACUUUCUGGGGCUCUUGUUUAAUACUAAGGUGGUGUAAGGAGUCCCACCCCCACAAAGAAGAUCCAUCUAGUGCUUUUUACCAACCUUGAUGGGUGGAGCUUUUGCUAUGUUUGAUUUGAUUUAUGCAAAUGAAAAGAUAAGGCAUUAUUUGUACCCUCAGCCCCAUGGACACUGCCAUUUUUACUGAGUAAAUAAAUGUGUGGAAUAGUUCAUUUCUGUUACAAUUUCAGCACUGAAUCAGGUGUAGUGGAUAUGUGUCAUUCCGUUGGGCCCCUGCAAAAACACUUUUCCUUUCUUUGAGGGAAUUUCCUGUCUUCUGAAUUCUGCCUCCUUGGGGAAUAAACGACAAUCAUAGCAAAUGCUUACAUAGCGCUAUUCUGUGCCAGGCACAGGUCUAAGCUCUUGACACAUAUUUCAUUUUAGCAGCGUGCCAACUCUAAAGGCAGCUUGUGUUAUUAUCCUUGCCAUUUCCUCCAUGAGGAAAUAGAGGUACAGGGAAGUGAAGUAAUUGGCCCAAAGCCUCCCAGCCGGUAGGUGGUGGUGUCAGGAAUUUACCUUCUCAGUCUUCCUUCACUUGGUGGCAGGUGUGUGAAGUAGGCUCCACCAAUCACAGGUGCCCGUUUUUGGAAGCUGGUAAUGCCAUCAAGGGCGCUUCCCUGGGUGGCAGGGACAGGAGUUCUUGUCCAGCGUCCAGUGCCUGUCUGGGCGGCAGGGCCGCCCCACUGCAGGCCUGGGCAGCGUUCCAGGCUGUGCACUGCUCUCAAUUUUCCAGCUUUGGGGAGUGCCCUAAUAUUAACAACUCCAUGCGUGUCUCCUGUACAUCUGCCGUCAGGCAUAAUUAAAAAUAGUGCCCUUUCCGUCUCAAAUGGGGCGAGAAAAUAUAUGGUCAUCCCACCCAAUAUGUUUAAAUAAACUCCUUUUCUACUUGACCUGGCUACAGUGGUCUUUGUAAUCUGCAGCAGACAGUAUGCUCCCAACUUUCCCACCGCCCUCACCUCCCACUUCUCAUCAGGGCUCUUAUCUCGAGUUCUCAGAGAACAGGCUGCUGGCUGCCUCCAGGCCUUUGCACAAGCUUUUGUUUCUUCCUGGAAAGUUCUCAUCAACAUCUGGGGUUUACCCAGCCAACCCCGCCCUGGAGGGUGUGGGACGCUCCCUUCCUGCCUCCAUCUUGCCCUACAUUCCUCCAUUGCGGCACUUAGCCCUGUGGUACAAUUUGACCUAACUCUUUGGAUUUGUUUUUUUACCCAACUUUUUGGAUUUGCCAAAGGUCUGUGAAUUCCUUCAGAGCAGAGACUAUUUCAUCUGGGUUUAGCCCUAGUGCCUGGCACAUGGUGAGCUUUCAACAGCUUGAGCGAAUCCUACUGGAGGACUAGAAAAUGGAAUUCGCCCGGGGAGAAGACCUUACUAGCACUGGGCCAUCUCACCCCCUGAGGGAGGAGAGCUCACCAUCAUCGGACUUUAUUAUGUGCUGGCUACUUGAUAUGCAUUUGUACAUUGAGCAGUAGGUAUUAUCUCCCUGACAAGUAAGAGAACAGAGGCUAAGAGAGGCUAAGUUGCUCAAAGAAAUAAAGUCAAAUGGAAGAACUGGAAUUAGAAUUAGGGUUUGCUCCAGGGUCUGCGCAUUUCCUUGCUUUGCUGCCUGGGGAUUUGUACAAAGUGAUUCAGACAAGGGAGUGUGUAUGCAUUUGCCAUGUAGAUUUACAGAGGAGGCAGGGCCACGAUAGCUGCCUCCACCCUCCAUUCCCUGCCUGCCAUUUCUGCAUACUGUCUUUUCUGCCUGCUUCUUUGACUCUAUCUUCUUUUUUUAUUUUAUUUUUAUUGUUCAGAUUUAUUUAUUUUUGAUAGAGAGAGACAGAGCACAAGUGGGGGAGGGGCAGAGAGAGAGGGAGACACAGAAUCGGAAGCAGGCUCCAGGCUCCGAGCUGUCACACAGAGCCCGACGCGGGGCUCGAACUCACGGACCGAGAGAUCAUGACCUGAGCCGAAGUCAGAAGCUUAACUGACUGAGCCACCCAGGCGCCCCUGACUCUAUCUUCAAAUGGAGACAAAAUAGCCGGUGGUAUUACUUGAGGAUUGUAAAGCUGGAAGACACAUCAGACAUUAUAUAGUGUGGUGGUUUUAGUGGGAUGGGGCAUUUAGGAAGGCAUUGAGCUAUUUUGUCUUUUUCUUUUUUUGCUUAUCAUAAUUGGGGGAGGGAGGAGGGGGGCCCCUGACAUUUAGUGGAAAGGGGCCCAGGAUGAUUUUGAAAGCCCUUCAAUCUGUGGGAGAGUUGUGCUGGCAAAGAUUUUCUCCGUGACCAAACUCUGGCCAGACUCCUUUGAGCCCUCCUCUCGACUAGGCCUCAACCUUGGCUAUAAAAAAAACCCCAUAAACCGACACUAACAGUUUCUAACAGCUCAAGGCCAUAUCUCUAGGCCGACCCUCCCCUCUAAGGUGCUUGCCCGACAAAAAUCAGGGCUGCCAAAAGCAUUUACUCUUUGUGUCAGUCAACACCUGAAGAUAGGCCAUCUGUCUCCCAGUUUCUAUGGGUGGGUAGGACCCUAACUUCAAUAACUAGCAGGUUAUUAACAGGUUAACUAGCAGGUUAAUUCAGAUGCCUUUUACACAAACAAACUCUCUCAGCUUUUUGUAAUUUUUCACUUCCCUGAUUCUGUUCAUUCUGCCCCCUCCCUGUACCCUCAUUUUUCCUUUAAAAUACUCCAGCACCUCUGUACAAAUCUGAAUGGCCCUCUGCUCUUUACUGUCAGUGGUUCCUGAAGAAAAUCUGUUUUCACCACUUGAACUAAUGCCCUACCGUGUUUAUCUUUGACGGUGCACUGUGAAUUGUUCAGCCCCAAAUACUAUUC